rnacentral:tRNA from 1 species
GCGAGAGUGGCGGAACUGGCAGACGCGCUGGAUUUAGGUUCCAGUCUCCACGAGGUGGGGGUUCGAGUCCCCCCUCUCGCA